UUGGAAGUAAAAGUCGUAACAAGGUUUCCGUAGGCGAACCUGUGGAAGGAUCAUUG
rnacentral:rRNA from 3 species